UGCUCUAAUACAGAUGGUGGUGGCUCUAGAAGAUAGAAUACUUGAGCUGAAUUUCGAAGAGUAGGAAUCCGCCACGCAAAAAUGGUGGGCAGUCUAGCCAAGGCUUAUGACAUCUUUGGGCUCCAGGUAUAAGUAGGUGUUUUAGCCUGAUUAGAUCCUGGGGUUCCGUUUGUCCCAUAUCUGUUUAAUUGGAAUUAUUCCUGACAGCCUGUCCUCUGGGAAACAGCUCAGGUCUCUGGAGGACUGAUGGGAGGGAAUGGAAGAAAGCUGUCGGCAGGACACAGCUCUGUCUUUGUGUGUUCAUAAGCACUUAAUCAAGCUCAGAAGUCUGGGAUACACCGUCCUCCUAGUCUGUCAGUACAGUUAGGUAUUUGAAAAAUAUGUUUUAUGGAAAAAUUAAAACUAUUUAAAACAAUAAUUCUACCCCCAUGUGCC
rnacentral:lncRNA from 1 species